UACGGAGGGGGCUAGCGUUGUUCGGAAUUACUGGGCGUAAAGGGCGCGUAGGCGGUGUGUCAAGUCAGGCGUGAAAGCCCCGGGCUCAACCUGGGAACCGCGCUUGAGACUGGCACGCUCGAGUUCGGGAGAGGAUGGUGGAAUUCCCAGUGUAGAGGUGAAAUUCGUAGAUAUUGGGAAGAACACCGAUGGCGAAGGCAGCCAUCUGGACCGACACUGACGCUGAGGAGCGAAAGCGUGGGGAGCAAACAGG
rnacentral:rRNA from 1 species